GCCCAGCAUGCUCCUGCUACUGUCGGUGCCAGGGUUGGCAAGAUUGUCAUACUGCCUUCCUCUUUCUAUGGUUCAGCCAGGCAGAUGCACCAUUCGUACCAAGAUUCCAUUGCGAUUAUGCGCAACUUCGGAAGACCUGACUUAUUCAUCACCUUCACUUGCAACCCUAAGUGGCCGGAAAUUAUCCUUCCUCUCCAAGGUCAACAGCAGGCGUGCCAUCGCCCAGACUUGGUGUGCCGUGUGUUUAAGGUCAAACUCGAUGCUCUCAUUGAAGACAUUGUCAAACACCAAAUUUUUGGCAAAGUUGAUGCCUACGUUUACACUAUUGAAUUUCAAAAACGUGGCUUGCGGCAUGCACACAUUCUCCUCAUCCUCGACAAACAAGACAAGGUACGGACGCCCGAAGAGGCCAACAAAAUUUGUCACGCAGUUAGAGGUUCGAAGACGAUCAGAUACCGCCUUAGUUCUAACCAUAAACGAUGCCAGCAAGCGAUCCGCCGGAGUCCGAUGACUCGGCGGGCAGCUUCCGGGAAACCAAAGCUUUUGGGUUCCGGGGGAAGAACAGUUGCAAAGCUGAAACUUAAAUGAAUUGACGGAAGGGCACCACCAGGAGUGGAGUCUGCGGCUUAUUUUGACUCAACACGGGAAACCUCACCAGGCCCGGACACCAAAAGGAUUGACAGAUUGAGAGCUCUUUCUUGAUUCGGUGGGUGGUGGUGCAUGGCCGUUCUUAGUUGGUGGAGCGAUUUGUCUGGUUAAUUCCGAUAACGAACGAAACUCUGGCCUGCUAACUAGUCGCUUCCGGUAUCCCUUCGUGCUACCAGCGACAAAUAUUCUUCUUAGAGGGACAGGCGGCUUCUAGCCGCACGAGAUUGAGCAAUAACAGGUCUGUGAUGCCCUUAGAUGUUCUGGGCCGCAUGCGCGCUACACUGAAGGAAUCAGCGUGUCCUCCUAGCCCGAAAGGGCCGGGUAACCUGUUGAACCUCCUUCGUGCUAGGGAUUGGGGCUUGCAAUUGUUCCCCAUGAACGAGGAAUUCCCAGUAAGUGCGAGUCAAAAGCUCGCGUUGAUAACGUCCCUGCCCUUUGUACACACCGCCCGUCGCUACUACCGAUUGAAUGAUUUAGUGAGGUCUUCGGACCGGUGCGCGACGGCUCGCUCGUCGAGUCGUUGAUGUUGCUAGAAAGAUGACCAAACUUGAUCAUUUAGAGGAAGUAAAAGUCGUAACAAGGAUUUCUGUAAGUGAACCUGUGGAAG
rnacentral:rRNA from 1 species